rnacentral:rRNA from 1 species
GACGAACGCUGGCGGCGUGCUUAACACAUGCAAGUCGAACGGAAAGGCCCUGCUUUUGUGGGGUGCUCGAGUGGCGAACGGGUGAGUAACACGUGAGUAACCUGCCCUUGACUUUGGGAUAACUUCAGGAAACUGGGGCUAAUACCGGAUAGGAGCUCCUGCUGCAUGGUGGGGGUUGGAAAGUUUCGGCGGUUGGGGAUGGACUCGCGGGUUAUCAGCUUGUUGGUGGGGUAGUGGUUUACCAAGGCUUUGACGGGUAGCCGGCCUGAGAGGGUGACCGGCCACCUUGGGCCUGCGAGACGGCCCAGUCUCCUACCGGAGGCAGCAGGGGGGAAUAUGGCACAAUGGGCGGAAGCCUGAUGCAGCAACGCCGCGUGCGGGAUGACGGCUUUCGGGUUGUAAACCGCUUUCGCCUGUGACGAAGCGUGAGUGACGGUAAUGGGUAAAGAAGCACCGGCUAACUACGUG